rnacentral:rRNA from 1 species
UACGGAGGGGGCUAGCGUUGUUCGGAAUUACUGGGCGUAAAGCGCACGUAGGCGGCUUUGUAAGUUAGAGGUGAAAGCCCAGGGCUUAACCCUGGAAUUGCCUUUAAGACUGCAUCGCUUGAAUCGUGGAGAGGUGAGUGGAAUUCCGAGUGUAGAGGUGAAAUGCGUAGAUAUCGGGAGGAACACCAGUGGCGAAGGCGACUUCCUGGCCUGUUCUUGACGCUGAGGCGCGAAAGCUAGGGUAGCAAACGGG